CUUCCUGUACUCAGUGGGGGAUGCAGAACAGCUGAACAAGGCCACAAUUUGCCGCACAAUAAGGAGUGUGUGUCUGGCUAUCAAAGCAUUAGCAGAUGUCUUCAUCUCCUUCCCUGGCCACAGAAGACUCUGUGACAUCAAAGAGGAGUUCUAUAGGAUUGCAGAUGGUCUGCAAUGCUGACUGUGUGAUCAGCAAUGUUGUGGCAAAAUGGCCUGGCUCAGUCCAUGACUCCAGAAUCUUUCGGGCCUCUGAAAUCUAUCAGUGCCUAUCACAAGGUGAAUUCUCUGGUGUGUUGCUGGGAGACAGGGG